UGUUGUCCUAGUGGCCAAGCAAAGACAGUGAUUCAAGCAGCAGGGAGUGUCUGUUUUAAAUGCCGUUUUAAAUGCUGCCAAGAGCUCAAAAAAGAGGACUAAGAAAGAAUCAUUCAAGCUUAAAAAUUCAGUGAGAAAAUUUCAGUGGCUUGUUGGAGAAGAACCCAGAGUGCAUCUGCACCCAGAUAUUGGCAUCUAAGGAGAAAAGGAUGCCCAUUUCCUACUUAGGCUUUUUGUUGGAAGAUUUCUUUCCUUGCUGGUGGAAGGUUUCCUCCUCCUUGGAAGGUUUUUAGAACACAGAGAGAUUACUAUUCUGAAGGAAGCUGUCAUCUUAUGAGAACACUCAAGGAGUCCUGUGGAGAUAUAGACAUGAAAACUAACUGGAUCUUCUACCAAUAUCAGCACCAACUUUCCUUUCAUGAGAUUGAGCCAACAUAGAAGGGGAUUCUGUGAGACAAGCUAUCAACAGAAUGCCAUGUGCUAGUUACCAAUUCCUGGGGAGGGCCCUAAACCCUUCUGCCCGCUGAGUCUUGGUAUUGGAGUCACCAAGGAAAAUACAACUCAGUCAAGUACUGGAUGGAACAAUACUUUAAUUACAUAGAGAAAAGAUAGAGUAACAUGACUUCAUGUUGCAGUGGAAGCAUGCUUUGUGCAGAGAUGAAAAAGUACUCAUUACACAUGAAACCAGGAAAGAUUUUCCCACACCAAGUCAUAAGCCCAACAUAGGGUAUAUGGGCUCUUUAUCUCUUGGGUGUUCAGGACCAAGGCCCAUUCUUUAUGCAUCUGAGUGUGACUUGGAAAACACUGCAUGUACAAGAGUACUUGCCUAACAACAGCCAAAUCUUGAGAUGAUUGCGGUUUUGACUGCAGCCUCAUCAGAGACCCUACACUGGAGCCUAGCUAAGCUAUUGCUGGAUUCCUGACCCACAGUAACUGUGUGAUAUGAUACAUGUUUAUUGUUAUUUUAAACCACUAAAUUGUAAAAUAAUCUAUCAUUCAGUGAUACACAACCAUAAAAUUUUGAUUGAUUAGUGGAUGAGAAACAAGAUGAUGGAUUAAGGACAUUUAAAAUCCCAUGGAUAACUAUCACUUUCUAGGAUUUAGAAAAAAUUCUGUCUUGGGGGCCGAGAUGAAGAGGAUUUUCAUGUCAUGAAAACUAAGUGUUUUGUGAUUCCAUAAAUCUGAAACAAUGGCCAAGAAAGACACUUUGUUACAACUGCUUGAAUUUUUCAGAGCUUGAAAUGAUUAUGUGGUUUUGAUCUGUGAUAGAGAAUCAGGGACCUAUGAUUGUCACUUCUGAGUUAGAGUUGACAAAAUUUAUUUCUUCAGAAGUUUACUGGAUAGGGCAUAUUGGGUUCAUCAUUAUUAAAAAGUGAGAUAAUUUUCUGCUUAUUUGUGGGUCAUUUGGGGAUGACUUAGAUUUACUUAAAGAAAUAUUAGUCUAGUUUUACUUCUUGAUUUCUUAAUUAUUUUUUAAAAUACCUUUUUAGUUACCAGUCUUCUAGCAAGGAAAGAUAGAAUGUAAACUACUGUCAGAGAUAUUAACUUUGAAGUAAUGCCCAAUCAGAUUUUUAAAAAUUCUAUGUAAGAAAAAAAUUAUUUAUGCAUGGUCAUCUGAAGAUUUCCUCAAAUUAGUAUUUCCAUUUAUACCUUAAGAGUCUAGGGGACAAAAAAAGAGCAAAUUAAAUCCAAUAUCGAUGAAAGAAAAUAAUAAAGAUCUGUGAAAAUCAGUAAGUAGAGAAUGGAAAUAAAAAGAUAUAAAUCAAUAAAACCAAGAGCUAGAUCUUUGAGAAAGUAAUUAAAAUUGGUAACAUCUAUCCAGGCUGAUGAAGAUAAAGAUGGAAGAAGAGGGCGCCUGGGUGGCUCAGUGGGUUAAGCCGCUGCCUUCGGCUCAGGUCAUGAUCUCAGGGCCAUGAGAUAGA